rnacentral:rRNA from 1 species
UACAGGGGGUGCAAACGUUGCUCGGAAUUAUUGGGCGUAAAGCGCACGUAGGCGGUUUGUUAUGGCGGAUGUGAAAGCCCUUGGCUCAACUGAGGAAGUGCAUCCGAAACUGGCAAGCUAGAGUAUGUAAGAGGGUCGCGGAAUUCCCGGUGUAGAGGUGAAAUUCGUAGAUAUUCGGAAGAACACCAGUGGCGAAGGCGACUUACUGGACACAUAUUGACGCUGAGGUGCGAAAGCGUGGGGAGCAAACAGG